rnacentral:misc_RNA from 1 species
AGCAGCCGCGGUAAUUCCAGCUCCAAUAGCGUAUAUUAAAGUUGUUGCAGUUAAAAAGCUCGUAGUUGAAUUUCGGGAUCAAUAUAUUGGUCAUGCUUAGGUAUGUACUGGUAUUAUUGAUUUCUCCCUUCUGAAGAACCAUGAUGUCAUUAAUUUGAUGUCGUGGGGAAUCAGGACUGUUACUUUGAAAAAAUUAGAGUGUUUAAAGCAGGCUUUCGCUUGAAUACAUUAGCAUGGAAUAAUGAAAUAGGACGUUUGAUUCUAUUUUGUUGGUUUCUAGGAUCGACGUAAUGAUUAAUAGGGAUAGUUGGGGGCAUUAGUAUUCAAUUGUCAGAGGUGAAAUUCUUGGAUUUAUUGAAGACUAACUACUGCGAAAGCAUUUGCCAAGGAUGUUUUCAUUAAUCAAGAACGAAAGUUGGGGGAUCGAAGACGAUCAGAUACCGUCGUAGUCUUAACCAUAGACGAUGCCGACCAGGGAUCGGCGGAUGUUGCUCUUAGGACUCCGCCGGCACCUUAUGGG